rnacentral:piRNA from 1 species
GCGGUAUGAUAAAACUGGAGCUCU